GGUUAUUAAAAUUUUACUGCAAAGAAAUUUACUUUUAAUAAGUUAUAUACCUUUUGCAUAAUGGUUUAAUAAUAAAUAAUUAAAAUUUAUAUUCCCGAAAUUAGAAGAUCUAAUUUUAUUAUUUUAUUAGAAAUAAUAAUGUUUCAAAAUUAUACAUAAGUACAAUUAGGGGUGAAAGGCUUAUCAAUUCUAAUGAUAUCUGGAAUAAUUUUAAAUGUAUUUAGUACAAAGUAAAGUUGAAUAAAAAAAUGUUAAGAUUUUUUUAAAAAGAAUAUAAAUUUUUAUUAUGAAUUAAUCUUCCAAUACUUAUUUCUAUAUAAUUAUUAAUUUAUUUAUCUUAUAUAAAAUUAUAUUAUAAUUUCUUAAUAAUUGAUUAUGUUAAAAUUAGUAUAAUAUUUAUGUUGUUAUAAAGAACUCGGCUAAUUAUUCAUCUGUUUAUCAAAACCUGCCCAGUGAAUAAUUUUAACGGCCGCAGUACUUUGACUGUGCUAAGGUAGCAUAAUAAAUUGACUUUUAAUUGGGGCCUUGAAUGAAUGGAUAGAUAAUUUCUGUUUCUAAUAAUACAUUAUAAAUUACUUAAAAGGUGAAAAUUCCUUUAAUAUAUUAAAUAGACGAGAAGACCCUAGGAGUUUUAAUUUUGUUGGGGCGACAAUAUAGCAAAACCUAUAUAUAACGAUAUAUAACGAAUAAUAUUAAUAAUAAUAAACUACCCUAGGGAUAACAGCAUAAUUUAUUAAGUUUGUGACCUCGAUGUUGGA
rnacentral:rRNA from 1 species